GAACACACACACACACACACACACACACACACUCUAUAUAUUUUCAUUAAUUUGGAUUUUCUUCUUUCCCAGCUUCCUAUUAUAUCAUGAGUCAAAUUUAGAGACAUAUUAAGGCCACACACACACAAAAAAAAAGACUCAGAGCUGUCCCUAAUCAUUGACCCAAUUAUGAUACCUCAUUAAUGAUAAUUUCAGAACCCUGAUCACGUGUGUUUUGCGUUCGCAAGCCACAAUAAUUGUGCGGGUGUCGCUCAUGAUGGACGUUCCAGCCCUAAUUGUCUCACUGCUGCUUUUUAUUAAUUUAAUUAUUAUUAUUUAAUUUUUUUUAAUUUGGGGAGGUAGGGAGGGGGUGGGAUGUCAAUGCUUGUUUUCCCUAUGCUGCUUUGGAAUAAUUUCAAAAAAUUAAUUUAAAUUUUAUUUCUAUUUUCAUAGAAGAGUAUAAAACAUAAUAUUCUUUUUACAUUUAGAUUUAAAAAAUAUAUUUAUAAUAAUAAUUAACUCUCUGCUACUUUAUAAAAAAAAAUCCUAUCUUUUAUGAGAUUUAAAAAAUAAUUUCUUUUCCUUUUUACUGUGCGGCAGUUGCGAACAAAGUGACGGAUGUUUCCGCACUAACAUGAACAACCUUCUCGAAUGUUUCUCGACAUGACAUCGGCAACGUCGACAACACACUCAUGUAGCAAACAGAAUCUUGUUUGUUUUCCAACAAAGCUCAAGGACGAGACCAAACAUGAAAUUCAAAAAGUCCGUCAGUCAAGUUCAUGGCUCGCGUUGGAUAUGAAAAUGAAAAGGAAUGUCUUUGUACCAAACCAGAAUGCACUUUUUCCACCCCCGCCCCGAGAAGGAAAUGGGUGGGGUUUAGUUGUUUGUAUUGAAGCACAGAGAUGACCUCAACGACCGCAAACACACGUUGUAAUAUGUAAAUAUUGAGCAUAACAACUAUUUAUAAAUGAGCAUGAAUGAAUGACGGCGGCGACGCUCGCAGGAAUGUGAUCUUUUGUUUUUUUUCCAAAUAUUGCAUGCUUUGAGGCGGGUAGCUGGCAAUGUUGACAGCGAUUGAUUUAGCUUUUAUCGCGCUAUAAAUUUGCAAAUAAUUCUGCUUGGAGUCUUCUAAGCAAUAAUUGCUUUUGUCGUUUUGGGCUCAUUGAACGUGAAUCCGAUUAUACGUACACCAAUUAAUCAAUGCCUACAGGUAGUUUAAUCAACGGGUUUCAAAACGGGCUUUUGAAUGAAUACAAAUUGUAUAAAAUGAAAGUUAGCGACUGAUCCACUCGCAUGUGUGCUGGUCGCUGUUCAAAAGUGUCCAACUUAACAGUUUUUUGGAACGUAGCAUCGGCAGGCUGCGCUUGUGGCGCGUUUGAGCGAGCUCGGGAAACUUGCUUUUAAUAAGCAUACGCUACUACAAGUCAGAAGACGGAAACUUUCUCGGCAACGGUAGAACGCUGUGAGACGCAAAAACGUAUUUUGGUGAAUGUAAAAACGCACAAACCACUCAGAGGUGGAUUGACACGGCAACACAGGCAUGGCAACUCCUCAACAGAACCAAUGACGGCCGGCCUCGGCUGCGACCUUCUCCAGAUUAUGACUUGGAUAAGAAAACAUCCAAACGGUCAAACACAACACGAAUGUAACGCGCUUGCUCUCUCUCUAUCUCUCUCACACACACACACACACACACACACACACACAACACACACACACACACACACACACACACACACACACACACACACACACUGUACAUAUCUGUGAACGUAACAUUUUGCUUCGACAGUGAUUCCAAGCCGCCAAGAGAACAUCAUGUAAUCCUCUUGCAUGUGACUUAUUCGGUCCUAACCCUGAAUGUAAUUGUUGAACACGGGAGUAGCGCUAACGCUAAAGUCCGAACGCCGAUUUCGGCUGUGCUUCUGUUUGUUUCUGUCGUGAUCAAGAUGCUGUACAGCGCUAACUUAUGUUUGACGCUCUCGCUCUCUCUCUCUCUCUCUUUCUGGAAACGUAUAGCAACAUUGUCCUCCUCCUCUGGCGCAACUGUUUCAACUCUCGCUGUCUCUCUCUGGUCAAGUAGAAGUGCUGCACACGCAUUCAUCGUAAAAGGGAAACAGCCCGGUGAUCAACAAAUAAAGUACACUCAACUCCACUCU